AACGAACGCUGGCGGCAGGCCUCAAACAUGCAAGUCUAGGGGGUGUAGCAAUACAUCACCGGCGGACGGGUGCGUAACGCGUGGGAAUGUACCUAUUGGUUCGGAACAACUGAGGGAAACUUCAGCUAAUACCGGAUGAGCCCGAAAGGGGAAAGAUUUCUCGCCAAUAGAUCAGCCCGCGUCCGAUUAGCUAGUUGGUGGGGUUAAAGCCUACCAAGGCGACGAUCGGUAGCUGUUCUGAGAGGAAGAUCAGCCACACUGGGACUGAGACACGGCCCAGACUCCUACGGGAGGCAGCAGUUGGGAAUCUUGGACAAUGGGGGAAACCCUGAUCCAGCCAUGCCGCGUGAGUGAUGAAGGCCUUCGGGUUGUAAAACUCUUUCGACGGGGACGAUAAUGACGGUACCCGUAGAAGAAGCUCCGGCUAACUUCGUGCCAGCAGCCGCGGUAAUACGAAGGGGGCUAGCGUUGUUCGGAAUUACUGGGCGUAAAGCGCGCGCAGGCGGUCUUCCAAGUCAGUGGUGAAAGCCCGGAGCUCAACUCCGGAACUGCCAUUGAAACUGUGAGACUUGAGUACGAGAGAGGUGAGUGGAAUUCCCAGUGUAGAGGUGAAAUUCGUAGAUAUUGGGAAGAACACCGGUGGCGAAGGCGGCUCACUGGCUCGUAACUGACGCUCAGGCGCGACAGCGUNNNGAUCAAACAGGAUUAGAUACCCUGGUAGUCCACGCCGUNNNCGAUGAAUGCUAGCCGUUGGAUAGCUUGCUAUUCAGUGGCGCAGCUAACGCAUUAAGCAUUCCGCC
rnacentral:rRNA from 1 species